UACGUAGGCAGCAAGCGUUGUUCGGAGUUACUGGGCGUAAAGGGUGUGUAGGCGGUUCUUUAAGUUUGCUGUGAAAUCUCCCGGCUUAACCGGGAGGGUGCGGUGAAUACUGAGGGACUAGAGUACGGGAGAGGAAAGUGGAAUUCCUGGUGUAGUGGUGAAAUGCGUAGAUAUCUGGAGGAACACCGGUGGCGAAGGCGGCAUCCUGGACCGGCAUUAACGCUGAGGCGCGAAAGCCAGGGGAGCAAACGGG
rnacentral:rRNA from 1 species